CUGGCCUCACGGCCCGAGUUGUAAUUUGCAGAGGACGUCUCGGGCGCGGCGCCGGUCUAAGUUCCUUGGAACAGGACGUCACAGAGGGUGAGAAUCCCGUACGUGACCGGCCGUCAACCCCAUGUGAGGCCCCUUCGACGAGUCGAGUUGUUUGGGAAUGCAGCUCUAAAUGGGUGGUAAAUUUCAUCUAAAGCUAAAUACCGGCCAGAGACCGAUAGCGCACAAGUAGAGUGAUCGAAAGAUGAAAAGCACUUUGGAAAGAGAGUUAAACAGUACGUGAAAUUGUUGAAAGGGAAGCGCUUGCAACCAGACUUGCCCGCGGGUGAUCAGCCGUCUUUCGGGGCGGUGCACUCUCCCGCGAUCAGGCCAGCAUCGGUUCGGGCGGCCAGAUAAAGGCUUCGGGAACGUGACUCCCCCCGGGGAGUGUUAUAGCCCGUCGCGCCAUGUGGUCAGCCGGGACCGAGGACCGCGCUUCGGCUAGGAUGCUGGCGUAAUGGUUGUCAGCGACCCGUCUUGAAACACGGACCAAGGAGUCUACGAAUUUUGCGAGUGUUUGGGCGUCAAACCCAUGCGCGCAAUGAAAGUGAACGGAGGUGGGAACCUUUACCGGGGCACCAUCGACCGGUCCUGAUGUCUUCGGAUGGAUCUGAGUACGAGCAAAAUUCGUGGGACCCGAAAGAUGGUGAACUAUGCGUGUGUAGGGUGAAGCCAGGGGAAACCCUGGUGGAGGCUCGCAGCGGUUCUGACGUGCAAAUCGAUCGUCAAACAUGCGUAUAGGGGCGAAAGGUUGGUGGCGAUACCCGUUGAAUUUUAAAAGAACCAUGCUAACAUAUUUUCCAGACUAAUCGAACCAUCUAGUAGCUGGUUCCUGCCGAAGUUUCCCUCAGGAUAGCAGUAACGUUUUCAGUCUUAUGAGGUAAAGCGAAUGAUUAGAGGCCUUGGGAAAGAAACUUUCUUAACCUAUUCUCAAACUUUAAAUAUGUAAGAAGUCCUUGUUGCUUAAUUGAACGUGGACAUUUGGAUGUACCGUUACUAGUGGGCCAUUUUUGGUAAGCAGAACUGGCGAUGCGGGAUGAACCGAACGUGAGGUUAAGGUGCCGGAAUUUACGCUCAUCAGACACCACAAAAGGUGUCGAUUCAUCCAGACAGCCGGACGGUGGCCAUGGAAGUCGGAAUCCGCUAAGGAGUGUGUAACAACUCACCGGCCGAAUGAAUCGGCCCUGAAAAUGGAUGGCGCUCAAGCGUAAUACCUAUACCUCGCCGC
rnacentral:rRNA from 1 species